UCUACUAAAUUUUUUAACAUGAAAAAAACUUUUAAGCAGGUUCAACGUAAUGCCUUGUUCAGAACAUCCUAUUUCCAUCCGUAACUAAAACCGAAGGGCAAAUAAGAGACAGAGAAAGACAAGGAAGGAGGAGGAAGCGCUUUCAGAACCGCUGUUUAGUAAUAGAAGCGCUAAUUACCAAGACCCAGAAGCCAAAACGUGAUUCCGUGGUUGGACAAAUGGUGCUGUGUUUUCCCUCAACACCCAAGAAACUGGCCAUGACCAUAGCAGUCUCCCUCUCUGGCGCUGCCAUUUUAGCUGUUGGGAUGCACCUUUCUUAUGUCAAUGUUGAACCCCAGCGAGCUCGAACCAGAGAUCGCGAUGCUUUUGUCAUGGAGACAUUGAACAAGAAGUAUGGUUAUACUUCCCCAUAUGAGAAAUUGGCUCGCAAUGGUUCUUCUGUUGAGAGAUCACAGGAAUCCUCUAUGAGAGAGAAUUAUGCUCGGGCUCGCAAUGAUCUGGUCAAAGAGACUUUUAGUAACCUUGGAUUUAAAAAAUAGAAGAGAGAUUCUGAAAGCUUUGGUCUCAAUUCUUGCUCCUUUGAGUUCUUCUUUUUGUGAUUCCUAAAUCAACGAAGAAUAAAUGCUUAUUGCCAAUGCUAGCAGCAGGCACAUCUUCAAUGUUUAUAGCAGUGCAUGAGUUUCUGCAUUGUUUUUAGUUGCUCUCUUGUAUGAAAUUUCUCAUUUUUGGCUCCAAGUUUAUUAAUUUUUCUUUGUGAUCCUUGCCAAA